rnacentral:rRNA from 1 species
CCCCUAGACGUUCUGGGCUGCACGCGCGCUACAAUAAUACGCACAGCGAGUAUCACCGAGCUCGAAAGGGCAAGGUAAACAAUAGAAAAGGUACUGUAAUGGUAAUAGAUCCUUGUAAUUAUUGAUCUUCAACGAGGAAUUCCUAGUAAGUAUGUGUCAUCAUCACGCACUGAUUACGUCCCUGCCCUUUGUACACACCGCCCGUCGCUCCUACCGAUUGGGUGAGCCGAUGAAACUCUCGGAUGUAGGCUAUUCAUAGCCCGCAGAAGAGAUUUGAAUCGUAGCGCUUAGAGGAAGGAGAAGUCGUAACA